rnacentral:lncRNA from 1 species
UGUAAUUCUGGAUGUUGAAAUAUGAGAGUGGAGGUAGUCUUUAUAAAUAGUUGGUGAUGAAACAAACCAACAAAUGGUCCAGAUGAGACUUUUCCUUCAGCUAGAAAUGCCCGAGUAGAAGCUUUCAAAUCUCUCUUUACCAAAUAAUCAUGUAUAUAAACAUUUAACCUGUUAGUGAAACCAGAAACAACAAAUUUUAAGACUACACCAGCCAAACAGUUACACAAAAUGUAAACAUUUGAUGAAGAGACU